rnacentral:rRNA from 1 species
CCUACGGUGAGCAGCAGUGGGGAAUAUUGGGCACUGGGCGCAAGCCUGACCCAGCAACGCCGCGUGAAGGAAGACGGCUUUCGGGUUGUAAACUUCUUUUCUGCGGGACGAAGAAAGUGACGGUACCUCAGUAAUAAGCCACGUCUAACUCCGUGCCAGCAGCCGCGGUAAUACGUAGGUGGCAAGCGUUAUCCGGAUUUAUUGGGUGUAAAGGGCGUGUAGGCGGGAAAGCAAGUCAGAUGUUAAAACUCAGGGCUCAACCCUGAGCCUGCAUUUGAAACUGUUUUUCUUGAGUGCUGGAGAGGCAAUCGGAAUUCGGUGUGUAGCGGUGAAAUGCGUAGAUAUACGGAGGAACACCAGUGGCGAAGGCGGAUUGCUGGACAGUAACUGACGCUGAGGCGCGAAAGCGUGGGGAGCAAACAGGAUUAGAUACCCGAGUAGUC